GACGAACGCUGGCGGCGUGCUUAACACAUGCAAGUCGAACGAAGUGGCGAACGGGUGAGUAACGCGUAAUCAACCUGCCCUUCAGAGGGGGACAACAGUUGGAAACGACUGCUAAUACCGCAUACGGAAGGAGGGGAUUGCGUCUGAUUAGCUGUUGGGGGGGGUAACGGCACACCAAGGCGAUGAUACGUAGCCGGUCUGAGAGGGUGAUCGGCCACAUUGGGACUGAGACACGGCCCAGACUCCUACGGGAGGCAGCAGUGGGGAAUCUUCCGCAAUGGACGAAAGUCUGACGGAGCAACGCCGCGUGUAUGAAGAAGGCUUUCGGGUUGUAAAGUACUUUCAUCGGGGAGCGUUACCCGCAGAAGAAGCACCGGCUAACUCCGUGCCAGCAGCCGCGGUAAUAC
rnacentral:rRNA from 1 species